AUGUCUGAUGUCUGUUUUUUUUUUUAAUUAGUUUUGUAUCUGGUUUCAUAAUUUCAUAAUGCCCUGAGAUGUAAUUCAUUUAAUAAUCACUAACUUAUCAAUACUGAUUUUUUCUUUUGAGUAAUAAAUCAGAAUUCUUACUUAAAUCUCAGAUCUAUGAAAACAAAUCCUGAAGGUUUUCAUGAAAAUAAAUA